rnacentral:snRNA from 1 species
GGAUGUGAGGGCGAUCUGGCUGCACCAUCUGUCACCCCAUUGAUAGCCAGGGUUGAUUCGGCUGAUCUGGCUGGCUAGGCAGGUGUCCCCUUCCUCCCUCACUGCUCCAUUGUGUCCUUCCCAAAGCUGCACGCUUGGUGGUCAAAGAGGAUGGCCUUCCCCCGAAUAGAGAUAGACUAGUCUUCGGUAGAGGCUAUAGGAGUAGCUGCUCUCCCCUGCCAGAACCUCCAAACAAGCUCUCUAGUGGGAAAUCCAGAAGUAUGCAUGGAUUACCUCGUAAAAGAAACUCAAUUUUGAAAGUCUUAUUCACUAAGGAUUGAUUAGCUCUUC